GACUCAGUAGUCCAAUGGUAAAUCGCUCGUCGCAGAGCCAGUGGGUCCUGGGUUCGUUCCCCAGCCGGGUCG
rnacentral:tRNA from 1 species